rnacentral:lncRNA from 1 species
CCUCACCUCCCUUCUAAGCUCCAGAGAUGAGUUUAAGACAUCUGUCAAAGCUGUGGUAACGGAUUUCUCCUGAUCUGCGAGGACCUUGAAUCUGUCAGAGCAUCCCCCGGCUGCCGCUCUCCCAGAGCUGUGCCCUAUCCAUCCCUAUGAGAGUUUCCACCCCCAAAGAGUCCAUGGCCUUCUUGCAGGAAAACAUCUGGAAAGGACCUCGAGCCCAUGCUGAGAGUUUCCUGAACUGAGGCUUCCAUAGAUAACACAGGGAUGGACUCAGAGCUGACAUCAACAAUUUGCCACAGCUUCCAGGGUUGCCUCUCAGAGCGGGGGAGGCCUAUGCAGACACAGGACUCCCAGUGUAUUUGGUGGUGCUGACUUCUGAGGGAAUUCGGAGCAGGCUUGCAAGAGGAGAGGAAGAAGUAAUUGGAGGGAAGAAGACAGUUUUUAAGGCCUUCACUGGCAGUUGUCCCCCAGCU